rnacentral:rRNA from 1 species
GACGAACGCUGGCGGCGUGCUUAACACAUGCAAGUCGAACGGAAAGGCCCUGCUUUUGUGGGGUGCUCGAGUGGCGAACGGGUGAGUAACACGUGAGUAACCUGCCCUUGACUUUGGGAUAACUUCAGGAAACUGGGGCUAAUACCGGAUAGGAGCUCCUGCUGCAUGGUGGGGGUUGGAAAGUUUCGGCGGUUGGGGAUGGACUCGCGGCUUAUCAGCUUGUUGGUGGGGUAGUGGCUUACCAAGGCUUUGACGGGUAGCCGGCCUGAGAGGGUGACCGGCCACAUUGGGACUGAGAUACGGCCCGGACUCCUACGGGAGGCAGCGGUGGGGAAUAUUGCACAAUGGGCGGAAGCCUGAUGCAGCAACGCCGCGUGCGGGAUGACGGCCUUCGGGUUGUAAACCGCUUUCGCCUGUGACGAAGCGUGGGUGACGGUAAUGGGUAAAGAAGCACCGGCUAACUACGU